rnacentral:rRNA from 1 species
GACGAACGCUGGCGGCGUGCUUAACACAUGCAAGUCGAACGGUAAGGCCCUUUCGGGGGUACACGAGUGGCGAACGGGGGAGUAACACGUGGGUGAUCUGCCCUGCACUUUGGGAUAAGCCUGGGAAACUGGGUCUAAUACCGGAUAGGACUACGCGAUGCAUGUCGUGUGGUGGAAAGCUUUUGCGGGGUGGGAUGGGCCCGCGGCCUAUCAGCUUGUUGGUGGGGUGAUGGCCUACCAAGGCGACGACGGGUAGCCGGCCUGAGAGGGUGUCCGGCCACACUGGGACUGAGAUACGGCCCAGACUCCUACGGGAGGCAGCAGUGGGGAAUAUUGCACAAUGGGCGCAAGCCUGAUGCAGCGACGCCGCGUGGGGGAUGACGGCCUUCGGGUUGUAAACCCCUUUCAGCACAGACGAAGCGUAAGUGACGGUAUGUACAGAAGAAGCACCGGCCAACUACGUG